AUUGAACGCUGGCGGCAUGCCUUACACAUGCAAGUCGAACGGCAGCACGGGUGCUUGCACCUGGUGGCGAGUGGCGAACGGGUGAGUAAUACAUCGGAACGUACCUUAUCGUGGGGGAUAACGCAGCGAAAGUUGCGCUAAUACCGCAUACGCCCUGAGGGGGAAAGCGGGGGACCGUACGGCCUCGCGCGAUUAGAGCGGCCGAUGUCUGAUGAGCUUGUUGGUGAGGUAAAAGCUCACCAAGGCGAUGAUCAGUAGCUGGUCUGAGAGGACGAUCAGCCACACUGGGACUGAGACACGGCCCAGACUCCUACGGGAGGCAGCAGUGGGGAAUUUUGGACAAUGGGGGCAACCCUGAUCCAGCAAUGCCGCGUGAGUGAAGAAGGCCUUCGGGUUGUAAAGCUCUUUUGUCAGGGAAGAAACAGCAGCUCUAACACAGUCUGCGAAUGACGGUACCUGAAGAAUAAGCACCGGCUAACUACGUGCCAGCCGCCGCGGUAA
rnacentral:rRNA from 1 species